GACGAACGCUGGCGGCGUGCUUAACACAUGCAAGUCGAACGGAAAGGCCCUGCUUUUGUGGGGUGCUCGAGUGGCGAAAGGGUGAGUAACACGUGAGUAACCUGCCCUUGACUUUGGGAUAACUUCAGGAAACUGGGGCUAAUACCGGAUAGGAGCUCCUGCUGCAUGGUGGGGGUUGGAAAGUUUCGGCGGUUGGGGAUGGACUCGCGGCUUAUCCGCUUGUUGGUGGGGUAGUGGCUUACCAAGGCUUUGACGGGUAGCCGGCCUGAGAGGGUGACCGGCCACAUUGGGACUGAGAUACGGCCCAGACUCCUACGGGAGGCAGCAGUGGGGAAUAUUGCACAAUGGGCGGAAGCCUGAUGCAGCAACGCCGCGUGCGGGAUGACGGCCUUCGGGUUGUAAACCGCUUUCGCCUGUGACGAAGCGUGAGUGACGGUAAUGGGUAAAGAAGCACCGGCUAACUACGUG
rnacentral:rRNA from 1 species